rnacentral:lncRNA from 1 species
GUUUUCUACUCCUUUUAUUAAAUUUGCCUCAUUAGUGUUGUCUCCUUUGAGUAGAUCAUCUCUUUCUUAGUGGGGUUUUGAUGACUACAACCACAAAACAAGAAAGUGAGAACUCAGGAAACACAGCAGAAGGAUGGCGUAGGAACUAGAAGAAAAUGUGAUAAAUAUUUGGUGUCAUGAGAUGAAGAAAAUCAACCAUAAUGAGGAAAGAAGAUCCUGAUAGUCUGUGGGCAAUUGCAUCAAUUUGCCUUUCCAGGAGGACAACCCUGCAUACAAUUAAAGUCCCAAGUAAUCAAGAGAAUGAAGAGUUUUUAACAGAAAAUGGAUGUGUAGCCUAUGUAAAAUCUAUAAGCCAAACCAACCUUUGACAUUUUAAACGGAAAUUGUGUAAAGAACUGACUGAAAGAUAGACUUAAGUUUUCUCCUCCUCACACAAAAGUUGAAAAGUGACUGAUGCCAUCAAUGGUUGUCUGGUUGUUUUAUUAUGUGCAAUUAAAAAUCAGAACUGAUUCGACUGGCAGUUUUCACAUUAUGUAAACACAAUGGAAGGGGACAUAAUUCCAAUUGCUCCCUUCUGGAAUGUUUUAUGCCUACAGGCACAAGGAAGCUGGACCUUGGACAGCACAACUGCUAUUUGCCAAGUUGAGGAAAAGAAAAAAAAAAUGACUGUCUACCAGGAGUUGGAGCAGUUUUUAGAUGCUGUCAUCCUUAUUAUGCACCCUUGUGGAUUUGGAGGAGGUGGUGGGGUUCUUGACGCACAUCAUUUGCUUCCACAAAUCUCCAAAGUGAUGUCUCCUUUCCUAGAGCUGCUUUCCCAGCUGGCUCCAAUGGUUGAAGUUAAAAGGUUUAAAAAUCCCAUUAAUUUGGCAGCCUGGGUGGCUCAGCGGUUUAGCUCCACCUUCAGCCCAGGGCAUGAUCCUGGAGACCUGGGAUUGAGUCCCACAUCCAGUUCCCUGCAUGGAACCUGCUUCUCCCUCUGCCUGUGUCUCUGCCUCUCUCUCUCUCUCUGUCUCUCAUGAAUAAAUAAAUAAAAUCUUAAAAAAAAAAUAAAAAUAAAAACCC